GCCUUGGUGGUGUAGUGGUAGCAUGCGCUCUCGGUAAGGAUGAAACGUGGGUUCAGCUUCCGCCUGAGGUA